rnacentral:rRNA from 1 species
CUUGGUCAUUUAGAGGAGUAAAAGUCGUAACAAGGUUUCCGUAGGUGAACCUGCGGAAGGAUCAUUACCGAAUUGUCAAACGGGUUGUUGCUGGUCUUCAAACGGGGACAUGUGCACGCUCUGUUUACAUAUCCACUCACACCUGUGCACCCUCCGUAGUUCUAUGGUCUGGGGGACCCUGUCUUCCUGCCAUGGUUCUACGUCUUUACACACACUCUGUAAUAAAGUCUUAUGGAAUGUAUGCCGCGUCUAACGCAAUACAAUACAACUUUCAGCAACGGAUCUCUUGGCUCUCGCAUCGAUGAAGAACGCAGCGAAAUGCGAUAAGUAAUGUGAAUUGCAGAAUUCAGUGAAUCAUCGAAUCUUUGAACGCACCUUGCGCCCCUUGGCUAUUCCGAGGGGCAUGCCUGUUUGAGUAUCAUGAACACCUCAACUCUCAUGGUUCGCCAUGAUGAGCUUGGACUCUGGGGGUUUUGCUGGCCCGCGGUCGGCUCCCCUCAAAUGAAUCAGCCUCCCAGUGUUUGGUGGCAUCACGGGUGUGAUAAAUAUCUACGCUUGCGGUUGUCUGCCAGGUAACCUUUGGUGACAAAGGUUUGCUGGAGCUCACAGAUGUCUCUCCUCGGUGAGGACAGCUUUUUUGAACGUUCGAUCUCAAAUCAGGUAGGACUACCCGCUGAACUUAAGCAUAUCAAUAAGCGGAGGA